ensembl:lncRNA
AAAACUACUCAGCGUGGAUUUUUGUAGGGAGGGGUGGGCCAGGCAUUUGUAAAGUAUCUUUAAAUUGCCGUGGCGUCCAAGAAAGAUUAAUGGAUGAAAAGUCUUGACUUCCAGCUCAAAGUGGCAGAGGAAAUUCUGCCAUAACAUGGUCUGCCGCUAAUCCCCAUCAGUGCAGAGCUGGAUGACUUUUUGCACUGUCUUAUCUCUCUAUUAAGGCAUCUAAUCACUCUUUUCCUGUUUACUUUCUCCCUAAUAUGCACAGUCUGUUAAUGAUAAAUAGUGCUGAAUACCCACCCACACCUCCAGCUGAGAGACUGAGCUCAGGGGCUCUCUGCCUGUGUGUUUGGAAGCCGUGCUUAUGCUGGGUGCUGCCUUGACGCCGGUUAUCCCAAAGAACACCCCCUUCUCACAUCUCAGCUCUCCGUGCCAGGCUGGAAUUCAAUCUGCCUGGCUUGCUGGGCAGCCCUUCAGAUCUGAGUAGGACUUCGGGCUGCUGCUGUCAAACCCACGGAGAAGAAAAACAAGCCCUGCCUGCCCGGCCCUGGCUGCUGGGCGGCCGAGACCUGCAGCUGCGUAGCCAUCCUGUCGGGAUUGUCGGUUCCAAGUGCUUCUUGCCGUCUUACAAAGGAAACCUGCUGAAUCAUCAGUGGUGGACAAAUACCGUGGCUGGAGCUGACGUUUGAUGGUGUUCCUGGUGGAGGAGGCCACUGUCCGUUCAACCUUUAGGCCUUCGUGGAGGGUCGCAGUGUUGUUGGAAAGAUUGGAUCAGCUCACAGCAUCCACAGGGCUCAGUGACCGUCUCAUUUAGACGUCCUCUUUGAAAACACAAGUGUCCUGUCAAGGAUUCCUACAACGCACUGAGAGCGCAUCAAUGAGCACUUCCCCGUCCCUGAAUGAUAAUUAAAGCAAAGAUUGACAGAAGGAAGUAUCGAGGGGCAAGGGAGAGAGGAUCUCGCAGGAAAUGGGUGAUCGCGCCAAAGACCUUGACUUCCUCACCUCCCAGCUUUGCCUGGGCUCAGGCCUUCAGGGGAAACUACGGUGUAUAGAGAGUUUUCUUUAUCUAAUCCCUUCUAAGGUGGGUACUAGAAACUUUCAGUUUCCGUAUGCAGCCUGCGUUACACUUCUGGACAGUGCUGUCACCGAAUGAGGAUCUCAGAGAUUGUCUAUUGUGACCACCCUGUAGAAACUGGAUGGACCUCAACCCAAAAUUUGGCUCAGAUGUUGAGACUGAUUAUGUCACAUAUCAAGAGGAGAUGAAAAGGAAGAACAAAGGAUGGAAGGAGUUGCUGGAGAACCAGAGAAAGAGCGCCUCCUAUAUUAUGGCCAACACAGAGAAUUCCAUAAAGAUUUGCAUGUGGAGUCAGCCCACAAUUGUCUGGCGAAUGGGAGAAGAUAGAUAUGAAAAGGUAAAAGCUGUGGAGAACACUCGAUGACUUAUAUUUAGCUUUGAACUGUUUUUGGUUGGUACCGUCUUUUGAAUAUGGGGAUUUUAUAGUUAAAACAAUAUCAACAUAUAUCAAGUAUGUGUUCUGUGCCAAGCCUGGGGUAAGCAAUUUCACAUUUCUGAUAUCGUCUCUGUUGAUACUAUUAUUUACUGUCUGAAGGGCUUCUUCACCUGGAGAGGAAUGCUUGCUACUAUCUAUCUUUUCUUUGAUGCUCAAUUUAUUAACUUUUCGGACUUUAUGAAACAAUAAGCAUUUCUUUAAUGAUUAAAUAAUAUUCCGCUAAAUAUUUAUACACUGCUUAACACAGCUAAGAAGUCAAAAUUUAGGAGUUUGAGAAGAUAUUUUCCCCCCAAAACUUAGGAACUUAUUUGAUUAAACUCUCUCUCUCUCUCCCUUUUUUUUUUUUUUGCUGAGGAAGAUAUGCCCUGAGCUAACAUCCGUGCCAAUCUUCCUCUAUCUUUUAGUAUGUGGGCUGCCAGCACAGCAUGGCUGCUAACAGAGUGGUGUGGGUCUGCACCUAGAAACUGAACCUGGGGUGCCAAAGUGGAACACGCAGAGUUUAGCCACUAGGUCACGGAGGCUGGCCCAGAUUAAACCCUUCUAAACAGUUAAUUUUCACAAGUCCCAUGUAUCAGAUUCUCUUAAAUGCUCUGAAUAACCUAAGAAGGAGAUAAAACACACACAGUAUCACAAUGAUUGCAGACCUUGUUCUUAACACUUACACGGUUGAUUUCAGUGUUGGAUUAUUUCUAGCCACAUCUGUUUCCUCAUUCUCCCUCUUGCUUCGCAGUAAUUUUACCAGACCAACUUAGACGGCAGUUCUGGGAUGCACCGGUGGAUUCUUGGUCCAGACGUGGAACCUGUUUUUUAAGUUCAAGAUGAGUUUAACCACAACCCAGGUGAGAUCGACGGGCAGCCAACAAAGGAUGGCUCAGCCCAUCCAAUCAAAAGACGUCAAAGCUAGACCAUGAGGAGGUCGAGGGAACUACUCCAAUAAAAGUUCAUGAAGGCCCUUGUCCAGUUUCCAGACUUGAGCCAGUUUUUGGACAGAACCUGUUGACUGAAGGAAAGGCAGAUUCUCCAGGACGAAGGAACUUGCAACACCACGCAGGUAAAUAUGAUAAUAAUUCCUCGGAUAAUAAUUCCCCAAAGGGCCUCCAAUGGUACUCAGGUAACUGGAUGAAGUUACUCUGGUAACUGCACACCCAAAUAUUUCAAACAGAGUUGGCAGCAGAGUCUCAGUUGACCUUGAUACCCGGGGUCCCUCCCUCUUAGACAGCCUAGGUCCAACAUACAUAGUCCAUUGAGUCCACGGAAGCAUCCAGAGGUCGUUUCCCUGGAACAGACAUACUUGGUAGUUUGUAGAACUGCCGUUUUAUUCCUUGGCUUCUAAGCUAAGGGAUAUUGUGAGGAAAAAGCCAAGUGGAAGCCUUUGGAACUGCUCUCCUCCUAAUGGUCACAUGGGCUAUUACUUUGUUGGCCCUCAAUGAGCCACACCUUCCAAUAGUCACACCUAUGUGUAGUCCCCUCCAGCAUCGACUCUGAGCUUGGGAAAAUGGAUGUGGGCAGGCAUGAUGCAAGCAAAGGCUGAGAAGAGUCUGCACGUGGUGGCUUGUCUUCUUGGAGUGCUUGCUCUGGGGAUCUGUUAGCCAUGGAAAGAAGCUCUAGGUAGCCACAUGAAGAGACGACACGGAAAGAGAGGCCCCAGCCUGCCAGCCCUCCCUGCUAAUGUGCCCACCACAUGAGCGAAGCUGUCUUGGACAUUCCUGCCAUCUGACUGCAUCUGCUUGAGAGACUCCAAGCAAGACCAGCAGAAGAACGAUCCAGUUCAGCCCUGUGAACCCACGCGUUGGUUCUAAGUAAUAAAAUGGUAGCUGUUUUAAUCCCCCACGUUUUGUGGUUAUUUGUUAUUCAGUAACAAGUAG